GGUCGGGUGGAGAGGCGUAAUACAACACCCGAAAGGGGAAUAUGCCCGGAGCUACUGUUUGUGCUCUAGUUGACACCCGAUCACCAGCUA
rnacentral:ncRNA from 1 species